AUCCAACUGACGAGUCUCAAAGAGAAUGAAACACGAGUCCUGGAU
rfam:Schistosoma rodhaini strain Burundi genome assembly, scaffold: SROB_scaffold0005368